rnacentral:rRNA from 1 species
GUAGGGAAUCUUCCGCAAUGGACGCAAGUCUGACGGAGCAACGCCGCGUGAGUGACGAAGGUUUUCGGAUCGUAAAACUCUGUUGUGAGGGAAGAACACGUACCAACUAACUAUUGGUACCUUGACGGUACCUCACCAGAAAGCCACGGCUAACUACGUGCCAGCAGCCGCGGUAAUACGUAGGUGGCAAGCGUUGUCCGGAAUUAUUGGGCGUAAAGCGCGCGCAGGCGGUUCCUUAAGUCUGAUGUGAAAGCCCACGGCUCAACCGUGGAGGGUCAUUGGAAACUGGGGAACUUGAGUGCAGAAGAGGAAAGUGGAAUUCCACGUGUAGCGGUGAAAUGCGUAGAGAUGUGGAGGAACACCAGUGGCGAAGGCGACUUUCUGGUCUGUAACUGACGCUGAGGCGCGAAAGCGUGGGGAGCAAACAGGAUUAGAUACCCUUGUAGUCC